UUCACCAUGGAUGGGUGGGUCUUCAACUAUCGUUAGUCCCCCUGCUUCCUAUCUCAUCGGUUGCACUGGUGCUGGCUGUGACUGAACAAAGGGAAUGGCUAUGGAGGUAGAGAAGGUGGCCACUGAGCUCCCGAAGGAGGUCGCUGUAGAAGCGCUCUCCCCCGGAUGAAGUGAUUUAGUCUCUCCUUCCUAAUGAGCCUCUCAAUCUUAUCAUGAAGCUGCAGGCAAUCUUUAGUAUCGUGAUCGUGAUCAUGAUGAUAGAGGCAGUACUUAUUCGGGUCAUGAUAGUACUUAUUCGAGUUGCAACAGUACUCUGA
rnacentral:lncRNA from 1 species